rnacentral:rRNA from 1 species
CGGUUGAUCCUGCCGGAGGUUACUGCUAUCGGAGUUCGAUUAAGCCAUGCGAGUCUAAAGGUUUCUUCGGAAGCCUUGGCGGACUGCUCAGUAACANGUGGAUAACNUACCCUUGGGACUGGAAUAACCCCGGGAAACUGGGGAUAAUACNGGAUAGAUCAGGGAUGCUGGAAUGCACCUUGAUCCAAAGCUCCGGCGCCCAAGGAUGGGACUGCGGCCUAUCAGGUUGUAGUGGGUGUAACGUACNUACUAGCCGACGACGGGUACGGGUUGUGAGAGCAAGAGCCCGGAGAUGGAUUCUGAGACACGAAUCCAGGCCCUACGGGGUGCAGCAGGCGCGAAACCUUUACAAUGUGCGAAAGCAUGAUAAGGGAACUCCGAGUGCCAGUAUCUAAUACUGGCUGUCCUUGUGCCUAAACCGCACAAGAUAGCAAGGGCCGGGUAAGACCGGUGCCAGCCGCCGCGGUAACACCGGCGGCCCGAGUGGUAGCCGCUAUUAUUGGGUCUAAAGGGUCCGUAGCCGGUUCGAUAAGUCCUCUGGGAAAUCUGGUUGCUUAACAAUCAGACUGCCAAGGGAUACUGUUGAACUUGAGACCGGGAGAGGUAAGAGGUACUUCAGGGGUAGGAGUGAAAUCUUGUAAUCCCUGGGGGACCAUCUGUGGCGAAGGCGUCUUACCAGAACGGGUCUGACGGUGAGGGACGAAAGCUGGGGGCGCAAACCGGAUUAGAUACCCGGGUAGUCCCAGCCGUAAACGAUGCUCGCUAUGUGUCAGGUACGGUGUGACCGUAUCUGGUGCCGUAGGGAAGCCGUGAAGCGAGCCACCUGGGAAGUACGGUCGCAAGACUGAAACUUAAAGGAAUUGGCGGGGGAGCAC